rfam:Schistosoma mansoni strain Puerto Rico chromosome 1, complete genome
AUCCAGCUGACGAGUCACAAAUAGGGUGAAACACGCGUCCUGGAU